AUUGAACGCUAGCGGGAUGCUUUACACAUGCAAGUCGAACGAGUGGCGGACGGGUGAGUAAUAUAUCGGAACGUGCCCCGUAGCGGGGGAUAACUACUCGAAAGAGUGGCUAAUACCGUAUACUAUUGGGGCGGCCGAUAUCGGAGUAGAUAUGUGGUGGGGUAAAGGCUCACCAAGGCAACGAGCCGUAGCUGGGUUGAGAGGACGACCAGCCACACUGGGACUGGGACAAGGCCCAGAGUCCUACGGGAGGCAGCAGUGGGGAAUGUUGGACAAUGGGGGAAACCCUGAUCCAGCCAUCCCGCGUGUAUGAGAAGGCCUUCGGGUUGUAAAGUACUUUUGGCAGAGAAGCGGUAUCUGCAGAAUAAGCACCGGCUAACGACGUGCCAGCAGCCGCGGUAAUUC
rnacentral:rRNA from 1 species